GAUAUUAUGAAUAAUAUCACAGUAGGUGUUCCUGCAUAAUGUGUACACCAUGUGUGUACACCCAUGUGAUAUUUGAAGUAAUAUGUC
ensembl:miRNA